AAGGGCAAGGGUGGUCGCUAACAGCGACCGGGGGUAACCCUAGGGAAAGUGCCACAGAAAACAGACCGCUAUCCUGUAUUUGGGGUAGUAAGGGUGAAACGGUGAGGUAAGAGCUCACCAGUUCCUCGGGUGACCGGGGAAGCUAGGUAAACCCCACCCGGAGCAAGACCAAUAGAGGGGCUUAAGGGGCGGCCCGUCCUGCCCCUGGGUAGGUCGCUUGAGAUGGCAGGCAACUGUCAUCCUAGAUGAAUGAUUGCCACCUGGCAUGGGGUAACCCUUGGCAGGGACAGAACCCGGCUUAUGACCUGCUUCAGCCC
rnacentral:RNase_P_RNA from 1 species